UUUCCCCUGCCUUGUUUGUGGUCGGGCAGAAAAAUUUCGAGCCAACAUUGACAUUGAGGGUGACCGCUAGCUGUUUUCUGCAAGGAACUCGUUUUCGGGCGAAUUCCUUAAAAUGGAAACGCAGGUAUCGCCCACCUAACACUGUUAGGUUCGAUGUCACUGUCCGGGCACGGCAAAGGCGGGGGAAUU
rnacentral:other from 1 species